AUUGAACGCUGGCGGCAUGCCUUACACAUGCAAGUCGAACGGCAGCACGGGUGCUUGCACCUGGUGGCGAGUGGCGAACGGGUGAGUAAUACAUCGGAACGUACCUUAUCGUGGGGGAUAACGCAGCGAAAGCUGUGCUAAUACCGCAUACGCCCUGAGGGGGAAAGCGGGGGAUCGCAAGACCUCGCGCGAUUAGAGCGGCCGAUGCCUGAUUAGCUUGUUGGUGGGGUAAAAGCCCACCAAGGCGACGAUCAGUAGCUGGUCUGAGAGGACAUUCAGCCAGACUGGGACUGAGACACGGCCCAGACUCCUACGGGAGGCAGCAGUGGGGAAUUUUGGACAAUGGGGGCAACCCUGAUCCAGCAAUGCCGCGUGAGUGAAGAAGGCCUUCGGGUUGUAAAGCUCUUUUGUCAGGGAAGAAACACCGGCUCUAACACAGGGGGCUAAUGACGGUACCGUAAGAAUAAGCACCGGCUAACUACGUGCCAGCAGCCGCCGUAA
rnacentral:rRNA from 1 species